rnacentral:lncRNA from 1 species
GUGGCCGACCCGGACUCGCCGCUAUCCGCGCCGUCCGUGGUCACGGAGGUGGUCGCGCAGUCGUCUCCGCUCCUGCCGCCGCUCCGCCGGCCCACGUUCGUCGGCGCCAGCCUGCCGUGCUCCGCGACCUCCUCCCCCGUCCACAGCGCCACGGCCAAGCCGGACGAGCCCGCCGCGCCCAGCCUCGCCACGGUCAUCGCCCUGCGCUCCCUCGCGCGGCAGCACUCCG